UAGGUGAACCUGCGGAAGGAUCAUUGU
rnacentral:rRNA from 5 species